rnacentral:rRNA from 1 species
AUUAAAUUUUUUUAUUAGUUGGUAUUGCAUAUCAUUUAAAGAAAAUUUUAUAUUUAAUAAAAAAUAGAAUUAAAAGGUAGAAAAUGUAUUUUUUUUAUUGUUUCAUAAUAAAAAUUAUAUUUUUUAGGGUUGAAAAGUCGACUUUUAAGAUUUCUGUGUAAUGUUUUAAAAUUAGAAAUUUAUUAUUUAAAAGUUAUUUUAGUUAUAAAUAGUAAAAGUUGAAGUAUUUAUUAUUUUAGUUUUAUAACAGUUUAUAAAUUUUGUAGCUGUAGUUGGUUAUUUUUAGUAAUAAUUUUAUAUUAUUUUUAUUAUUUUAAAAUUAGUAAAUGUUUAAAAAUAUUAUUUAAUGUAUUUAAUAUAAUAAAAAAACUAAAUAGUUAAUCAAAUGUUUUUUAAAGACUUAGACUUUCAGGUAAAGUUUGCUUCUGCCCAGUGAUUAUUUUUAAAUGGCAGUCUUAGCGUGAGGACAUUAAGGUAGCAAAAUAAUUUGUGCUUUUAUUGGGUUCCAGUAUGAAUGAAGUUAUUGGUUAAUUUAUUUUUUAGUUUUUUUAUUGAAUUUUUUUCAGUAAUAAAAAGUUAUUGUUGUAACAAAACAAAGAUAAGUCUUCGGAAAUUUUAUUUUUAGAAUAAUAACAGUUGUUUUAAAAAGUUUUCUAGGGCAGAAUUUUAUAUAAUAAUUUAAAUCUAUUAAUAAUUUUAAAAAUUACUCCGGAGUUAACAGAAAAUCAUACCUAAUCUAGUUCUUAUAGUAAGGUAAGUUUUACAUCGAUGUUGUAUUUAAGUUUAUUAAAAAGGAGAAAUUUUAAUUUUUAAGACUGUUCUUCUUUUAAUUAAUUUAACGUGAUAUUAGUUUAAUUCAUUGUGAGAUAGAAUUGUUUAUCUUGUUUGUUAUUGGGUUAUAGUUUUAAUAGUACGAAAGGAAAAUUAAAAAAAGUUUUAAACUUUUAAAGAGUUAAUUCUCA